CUGGGACUGAGACACGGCCCAGACUCCUACGGGAGGCAGCAGUGGGGAAUAUUGCACAAUGGGCGAAAGCCUGAUGCAGCGACGCCGCGUGAGGGAUGACGGCCUUCGGGUUGUAAACCUCUUUCAGUAGGGAACAAGGCCAAUGUUUAGUUGGUUGAGGGUACUUGCAGAAGAAGCACCGGCUAACUACGUGCCAGCAGCCGCGGUAAUACGUAGGGUGCAAGCGUUAUCCGGAAUUAUUGGGCGUAAAGAGCUCGUAGGCGGUUUGUCGCGUCUGCCGUGAAAGUCCGGGGCUCAACCCCGGAUCUGCGGUGGGUACGGGCAGACUAGAGUGAUGUAGGGGAGACUGGAAUUCCUGGUGUAGCGGUGAAAUGCGCAGAUAUCAGGAGGAACACCGAUGGCGAAGGCAGGUCUCUGGGCAUUAACUGACGCUGAGGAGCGAAAGCAUGGGGAGCGAACAGGAUUAGAUACCCUGGUAGUCCAUGCCGUAAACGUUGGGCACUAGGUGUG
rnacentral:rRNA from 1 species